rnacentral:rRNA from 1 species
UUGGUUAUGCUAAUAAGAGCGUAUGGUGGAUGCCUUGGCACUAAGAGCCGA